rnacentral:sRNA from 1 species
CAGAUUUGGAGGCCAAUCACUGCCACCUUUUAUUUCCCUGUGGGUCCAGGAACUGGAUUUCUUUAUUUGGUCAAUUUAUAUUUCUUAUAUCAUUAUUCUACGCGACUUGAAACAGGAGCUUUUGAUGGGAGGCCAGCAGACUAUUUAUUCAUGCUCCUCUUUAACUGGAUUUGCAUCGUGAUUACUGGCUUAGCAAUGGAUAUGCAGUUGCUGAUGAUUCCUCUGAUCAUGUCAGUACUUUAUGUCUGGGCCCAGCUGAACAGAGACAUGAUUGUAUCAUUUUGGUUUGGAACACGAUUUAAGGCCUGCUAUUUACCCUGGGUUAUCCUUGGAUUCAACUAUAUCAUCGGAGGCUCGGUAAUCAAUGAGCUUAUUGGAAAUCUGGUUGGACAUCUUUAUUUUUUCCUAAUGUUCAGAUACCCAAUGGACUUGGGAGGAAGAAAUUUUCUAUCCACACCUCAGUUUUUGUAAGUGUUUUUGUCCUGUCUCAUCUAACAUUUUACUGCCUGUGUUCUUAGUGCAUCCUAAUGAGAGCUCCAUGAGGAGUAUGAUUUACCCCUAUGCCCCAUCUGAUGGAGAAACCUGAGGCAACAAAUGACUUACCCUAGUCACACAGUCACAGGAAGUUAGGGAUUAAAGCCUAGGCUCAGUUGCCUUCUUGUUACUCUUUUAGCCAGGGACCACUGACAACUAGAUUCCAACAUUACAGGAGGCAUCUCAGCUCACUGAGCCUGCUGAGGGACCUGAUGCAACUCCAGAGUGCGAAACAGUGGGCUGGGGAAUGAGCAGAGUCACAGGAUAGUGGGGAGUCUUUUCUUGGCCCAUCAGUUUUUACCCAUGAUUUUGCCCAAGGAAGGGUAAGUUAGCGUGUUGGUCAGCAAUUUUAAACAUUUUUAUAUUAAAUACUAUGGAGUAGACAUUUUACAGGACUGUUCAGAGUUAAAAUGAGAGACUUGAGGUUUGUAUAGUCCCAACCCCCUGGGAGUUUGUGCUCUUUAUCUGCUUUUAGGGUUUACUGAAGUGGGAUGGUAAGGGCAACAGCUUUGAUUUUUGAGACAAACUUGGGUUUGAAUCCCAGUCCCCUCAGAUAGCAGUUUUUAUAUUGGGAAAGUUACUUAAUCAAACCUCCAAGCUUCAGUUUGCAAGCCUGUAAAUUGUGGGGGAAGCCCCUGUCUCACAGGACGGCAUGAGGUAAGAUACACCGUUGGGAAGCACAGUAGUGGGUUCUCGGUAAGUAAAGCUAGCUGCCAUAUUCCUAAAGGUAGGGGUGGGAGAGCAGGAUUUUGACGAGCUGAGAGGAGACGCGCACACACCCAGAAACAUGUAAUAGUCGUGUGACCGUUCUGUCAGUGAGGCAAAAGGCUGUCAAAGAAGGGGCCAGUUAAAUCACCAUCUGGGUGUCACAGCCUGCCUGACAAUCACACCUGAUCUCAUAUCAGGGAUAUGCAGUAAUAGCUUGCAUUUGAAAGCUUUAAAAAAACAAACAAACCAAACCCUUCCACAUCUUGCUAAUUUUAAUGUUUUGCAGUUCUGUCAUUCCUCUAAGGGAUCAGUGAGGGCAGUAAAACUUGAGCAGGCCUCCUCUUUCUCCCUUCCUUUUAUAGGAUAGGGGUAUGUUUUUCAAAGACUUUUCAAAUUGUGAACUGUAAUAUACAGAGAUAUACCAUAUUGGUGGUUGUGGUGUGUGUGUUUUUCUUUAAGAGAAUAAAAAGAAACUUGUUUCUCUUCUGAGCCUUGAAUUGCCUUCAGGCUAAAAAAACAAAUGACCAAUCUGGUUUCUAAUUAUCAAAGGACAUAAUAACAGCAGGUUUGGCUUUCUGAUCUAGGUUUAUCAAGUAGGAUGGCAGAUGCAUCAAUUAAAAAAAGCUUGAUGCUUUUGGGGAGCAGCCAACAGUUACUUUACUUUAAAUGGCCAUAUUCUAACUUAACGGCUUGUAGUUACUUCUCAGUUGUGGGCAACACAGGAUACAAGAUUCUAGUGGCAAAAUCAGCAGAGCCCUGGAGCCUGCCUUCCACUUGAACUUUCUCUGUUGGUGGAAGUCCUUCUGCUAAAUUUUGCAUAAAGAUCAGAUGACAAAAUAUAGCUCCUUGCAAAAGCAGUAACUGCUUUGAAAUUACCAUAAAUUUUUGUUGAUUAUGUAUAAUUGGGUAUCUUUUUAUACUAAUUAUUUGCAUUUAAUUUCACUAGCUACUUAAGCAGUGGAGAUGGCUUCCAUAUUGUCUUAGAGUGAGUAGCAAAGCAAGACAGCCCUAGCAUUGCCUUCUGCAAGUGUUCUAUUUUAUUAUGUACUUUGGAGGAAUAUUAUUGUACCAGAAGGCAUGGAUGUUGAGAAACCAGCACUUGUAAAAUACAUUUUGAUUUAAUGGUAAAGCUGUAUUUGUUUAAAAUGGAGGAGGUGAGUAUAGGAAGGUAUAACUGCUUUUCUAAAUGGAAUGCUGAUACAUUUGUAUCACCAUUUUCCAUUCCAUUUAGAGUAGUUAUAUCUUCUCUGUACACACUAAAUUUUGUGUUUAAAAGGGGUUUUUGGCCAGGCGUGGUUGCUCACGUUGGUAAUCCCAGCAUUUUGGGAGGCCGACAGGGGCGGAUCAUGAGGUCAGGAGAUCAAGACCAUCCUGGCCAACAUGGUGAAACCCUGGCUCUACUAAAAAUACAAAAAUUAGCUGGGCAUGGUGGCGGGCGCCUGUUGUCCCAGCUACUCUGGAGGCUGUGGCAGGAGAAUCGCUUGAACCCGUGAGGUGGAGGUUGCAGUGAGCUGAGAUCAUGCUACUGCACUCCAGCCUGGCGACACAGUAAGACUCCGUCUCAAAAAAAAAAAAAAAAAAAACCGAGUUGUUGUCUGUUUUGGGAAGAGGCAUGAAGGUAUCGAAUAUGAUGUAAACAGACUCCAGUCACUGACUGCUGUCCCUUCCCAGGCAGGAGGCAUGUAGUAUAACAAGUAGUGCAGGGCGCAGGCUCUGGAGCCAGGCUGACUAGGUUGGAAUCCUGUCACUUUUGAAGCGCUUCACUCAGUGUUGGCUCAAUUUUCUUGUUUAUAAAACAGGAGUAAUAGUAAUGCCUACCUCAUGGGGUUGUUGUGAAGAUCAGAUGAAUUUAUAAGCAGGCAGCACCUAGUGUAAGGUAAUGCUCACUGAGUAAAUUCACAUAGUAACUGCUCUAGUAUAAGGUCAGGUAUAAAGCCUGUCCUCUUCAGGGUUUCUGCUGUGGACAAGUCACCUGUCAUGACUUACUCUUGCUGCCAAGAAGGGUUUAAGUGGAGGUAUCAGAACAUGCUCUCUGCCUUCAAGCAAAAUUUUAAACAUUAGGAUCUGCUAAGUGGAAUAGGUUUAAACACAUUCUCAGUUUACUAAUAAAAGAGUCAAGGAUGGGAAAUAGUUGGAAAAUACUAUUGAGAGUGUAGGCUUGGGUUUAAGUUCUCUUAGCUGUUCCGUGAACUCUUAGUUUAUUAAUUCUAAGGUGGGAAAUCAUCUAACUUUCUGGGGCCCCAGCUCUCCCACCAUCUGUGAGAAGGGAAGAAUGUACCUGGAAGGCAGAGUCUGAAUAAAUUUUAAAACAUACCCAUACUUCCAACAUAGAAAGCCUUCUUCCCCCGUCUCCUUUGAUGGGCUCAGCUGACAGCCUUUUAGAAAUGCUGUGCAAGGCUCAAACACGCAGGCUGUGGAUUUGGCCUUUGAAAGUGAAUGUAUUUUGUAUCCUUUGAUCCAGUUUGAGCCAUAUUUAGAUAUACCAAGAUGCUAUCAGUCAUUCUUUGGUUGCUGGGCUUGUGGGUGUAAUAUUUUUGUUUCCAUACUGUUCUGCAUGGAUUACUUUUAUAAGCAGAGAAAAAAACGUUCAGAGUGUGAAUUUAGCUGAAAUCUGAAUACAUUUAAGAAACACGAAAAACGAAUGCCGUCUGUGGUCAGGUCAUGGAGCUGAGUACAGAAAAGACAAAGUUAAAUAAGACAUUGUCCCUCGCCGCCUUCAACAUGACAAGUGCCAUGGGAACAGCAGGAGAGGGAGGUGUUCUCGGAGGUCAGAUAACUAUGUGGAAGUGACUUUGUUCUCUUCUCUGCCUUUGUGUCCCCGUCUUUCUGCACCAGGUACCGCUGGCUGCCCAGUAGGAGAGGAGGAGUAUCAGGAUUUGGUGUGCCCCCUGCUAGCAUGAGGCGAGCUGCUGAUCAGAAUGGCGGAGGCGGGAGACACAACUGGGGCCAGGGCUUUCGACUUGGAGACCAGUGAAGGGGCGGCCUCGGGCAGCCGCUCCUCUCAAGCCACAUUUCCUCCCAGUGCUGGGUGCGCUUAACAACCGCGUUCUGGCUAACACUGUUGGACCUGACCCACACUGAAUGUAGUCUUUCAGUACGAGACAAAGUUUCUUAAAUCCUGAAGAAAAAUAUAAGUGUUCCACAAGUUUCACGAUUCUCAUUCAAGUCCUUACUGCUGUGAAGAACAAAUACCAACUGUGCAAAUUGCAAAACUGACUACAUUUUUUGGUGUCUUCUCUUCUCCCCUUUCCGUCUGAAUAAUGGGUUUUAGCGGGUCCUAGUCUGCUGGCAUUGAGCUGGGGAGCUGGGGCUGGGUCACCAAACCCUUCUCAAAAGGACCCUUAUCUCUUUCUUGCACACAUGCCUCCCUCCCGCUUGUCCCAACCCCCACAUUUGCAACUAGAAGAGGUUGCCCAUAAAAUUGCUCUGCCCUUGACAGGUUCUGUUAUUUAUUGACUUUUGCCAAGGCUUGGUCACAACAAUCAUAUUCAUGUAAUUUUCCCCCUUUGGUGGCAGAACUGUAGCAAUAGGGGGAGAAGACUGAAGCAGCGGAUGAAGUGCUUUCUCAGCUUUUGGAAUUGCUUCGACCUGACAUCCGUUGUAACUGUUUGCCACCUCUUCAGAUGUUUUUAUAAAAAAGUACCACUGAGUCAGUGAGGGCCACAGAUUGGUAUUAAUGAGAUAUGAGGGUGGUUGCUGGGUGUUUUUUUCCUGAGUUAAGUGAUCAAGACUGUAGUGGAGUUGCAUCUAACAUGGGUUAGGUUUAAACCAUGGGAGAUGCAACCCCUUUGCAUUUCAUAUGUAGGGCAUACUGGCUUUGUGCAGCCAGAGUAGUUGGGUUGCUUUGUGUUAGGAGGAUCCAGAUCAUGUUGGCUACAGGGAGAUGCUCUCUUUGAGAGGCUCCUGGGCAUUGAUUCCAUUUCAAUCUCAUUCUGGAUAUGUGUUCAUUGAGUAAAGGAGGAGAGAUCCUCAUACACUAUUUAAAUGUCAUUUUUUUGCCUAUCCCCCAUUUUUUGGUCAUGUUUGAAUUAAUCGUGAGGAAGGUGCAGCUCCUCUCUGCACAUAGAUCAUGUUUUAAAGCUAAUGUAAGCACAUCUAAGGGAAUAACAUGAUUUAAGGUUGAAAUGGCUUUAGAAUCAUUUGGGUUUGAGGGUGUGUUAUUUUGAGUCAUGAAUGUAUAAGCUCUGUGAAUCAGACCAGCUUAAAUACCCACAACUUUUUUUUCGUAGGUGGGCUUUUCCUGUCAGAGCUUGGCUCAUAACCAAAUAAAGUUUUUUUGAAGGCC